CAAUCCAGGUCGGUUUCUAUCUAUGCAGCUACUUCUUCAGUACGAAAGGACAAAGAAGGAGGGGCCCUGCCACAAGCACACCCCAAACCAAUAACUGAACAAAGCUAAAGUUAAAUAGCUACCACCACGACCAAAGAUCGUGGUCU
rnacentral:rRNA from 1 species